CUGACGAGUGGCGGACGGGUGAGUAAUGUCUGGGAAACUGCCUGAUGGAGAGGGAUAACUACUGGAAACGGUGGCUAAUACCGCAUAACGUCGCAAGACCAAAGAGGGGGACCUUCGGGCCUCUUGCCAUCAGAUGUGCCCAGAUGGGAUUAGCUUGUUGGUGAGGUAACGGCUCACCAAGGCGACGAUCCCUAGCUGGUCUGAGAGGAUGACCAGCCACACUGGAACUGAGACACGGUCCAGACUCCUACGGGAGGCAGCAGUGGGGAAUAUUGCACAAUGGGCGCAAGCCUGAUGCAGCCAUGCCGCGUGUAUGAAGAAGGCCUUCGGGUUGUAAAGUACUUUCAGCGGGGAGGAAGGUGUUGUGGUUAAUAACCGCAGCAAUUGACGUUACCCGCAGAAGAAGCACCGGCUAACUCCGUGCCAGCAGCCGCGGUAAUACGGAGGGUGCAAGCGUUAAUCGGAAUUACUGGGCGUAAAGCGCACGCAGGCGGUCUGUCAAGUCGGAUGUGAAAUCCCCGGGCUCAACCUGGGAACUGCAUUCGAAACUGGCAGGCUUGAGUCUUGUAGAGGGGGGUAGAAUUCCAGGUGUAGCGGUGAAAUGCGUAGAGAUCUGGAGGAAUACCGGUGGCGAAGGCGGCCCCCUGGACAAAGACUGACGCUCAGGUGCGAAAGCGUGGGGAGCAAACAGGAUUAGAUACCCUGGUAGUCCACGCCGUAAACGAUGUCUACUUGGAGGUUGUGCCCUUGAGGCGUGGCUUCCGGAGCUAACGCGUUAAGUAGACCGCCUGGGGAGUACGGCCGCAAGGUUAAAACUCAAAUGAAUUGACGGGGGCCCGCACAAGCGGUGGAGCAUGUGGUUUAAUUCGAUGCAACGCGAAGAACCUUACCUGGUCUUGACAUCCACAGAAGAAUCCAGAGAUGGAUUUGUGCCUUCGGGAACUGUGAGACAGGUGCUGCAUGGCUGUCGUCAGCUCGUGUUGUGAAAUGUUGGGUUAAGUCCCGCAACGAGCGCAAC
rnacentral:rRNA from 1 species